rnacentral:rRNA from 1 species
CCUACGGGAGGCAGCAGUGAGGAAUAUUCGUCAAUGGGCGCGAGCCUGACCCAGCAAAGUCGCGUGAGGGAUGACGGUCCUACGGAUUGUAAACCUCUUUUGCCGGGGAGCAAGCGUACGUUCGUGAACGCACGUCGAGAGUACCCGUAGAAAAAGCAUGGGAUAACUCCGUGCCAGCAGCCGCGGUAAUACGGAGGAUGCGAGCGUUCUCCGGAUUUAUUGGGUGUAAGGGGUGUGUAGGCGGGAUGCCAAGUCAGCGGUAAAAAUGCGGUGCUCAACGCGGGCGAGUCGUUGAAACUGGCGUUCUUGAGUGGGCGAGAAGGAUGCGGAAUGCGUGGUGGAGCGGUGAAAUGCAUAGAUAUCACGCAGAACUCCGAUUGCGAAGGCAGCAUACCGGCGCCCUACUGACGCUGAGGCACGAAAGCGUGGGUAUCGAACAGGAUUAGAUACCCCGAGUAGUC